ensembl:snoRNA
ACCCUGUUGUCGUUCACAAGAGUGAUGACUGGGUUUUCAUGCUCGUGUGACACGCACUCCCUGAAACCUUGUUACGGAGUCAGCAUAUCAGCCCUCCGAUG